CGUUUCGUCGGCUACCCUGAUGUCAAGAGGCCAGGUUCACACUAUUGUUCCUGCAAAGAUGGAAGCAAGAAUUGCCAGAUUAAGGGAACUUUAAGAUUCAGUUCCUGCCUGUGCACGGCAUCAAUAAGAUUGAAUCUGUUUUUGUUGAUACUGUUGCUGUUGCAAGAAGCAUGUGGAGACCUUGCAGCUCCAAAAUCCACAGGUUUCCAGCUGAACUUGCAGCACAACCAGCAAGGGAAAACCCUUUUUUUCAAAGUUUCGAAGAUGGAUACGCUCGGCUGGUGAUUAUGUCCGUCAUCUGAAAUCCUUCCUGUUGCAGGACAAGUAGACGCCCCAAGGCAUUGAAAAGAUAAAUGUUGUGCUGCAAUCGAACCCUCGGAAUCAAGGAUGCAGGAGAGGAAUCUCGCAACGCAGCGUUCAUCAGAAACUGACCCCUUUAACAUAAUUGGAAAAGAUGCGGUCACUGUUGAGGU